CUCUCUGUCUUCGUUGUUGUUAACGGGGAAACUUGCCGCCCGGUGGCUUUGCUUCAGGCGGAAGUCCGCGUGCUUUGAUACCCUCAGGGGGCACUUACAGGCUAGGUGGACACAGACACUAGUCCCACUUCUUUGGUUAUCUGUAUUCUGAGUCCACAAAUCAGAGGCAUCCAGUUGAAAAAGCUGAAAGCUUCUAGAAUGGCACUAUCCAAUAUGGUAGCCAGUGGCCCCCUGUGGCUACUGUGCACUUAAAAUGUGGCCAGUCCUAACUGCAACGUGCUGAAAAGACAGAAGCUGAUUGAGGUCCCAGCUUGGUAACAGUUUGAAGAGUUGCAGGACUGGCUGGAUGAGUACUGGCUGCAGCAAAUCAGGCUGCCAGGAUUCUUUAUGGCUGUUUCUGCUUCCACUACAGCUGAGUCAGAAAGGUCGCUGCCCCGUGGUGGCACUAGACGCAGUGGACCUGGCAAGCAAAUGUUUCCGCUAUUAGCUCUCAGCAACAGAGACUCAUUUAUGGUCACCUUGGAAAUCUGGGCUUAUCGAUCUACAGCCCAAGUCUGCUGAGAAGCUGGAGCUUACUAAAGGGGAAACCUGAGAGCUGUUCAAGCCCCAAAUAUUUUCCACUUCUGCGUCACCUCUGCUGUCUGUUAGCAGAGUGGAGGAGAAAAUACACAGCACAAACAACGUGAAAAAAUAGUUACUCUAUUCAUUAAAAGCUGUAACUUCCAGAUUGGACUUGAGAAGCAAUUAAGCAACAGAGGAACCUCAUCUACUAUCUGUAUUCAGGCAUGCUCAUGAGAACACGCUGCUCCAGCUGGACUUAGAGGAACCCGGUGCAUCACAGGCAUUCCUGACAGAGUCUCGUGGUCCUGCUGGUCCACUCAGUGGUACUCAGUCCUCCUCAUUCUCGGGGAUAGGUUCCAAGACCCCCAGGGGAUGCCUGAAACUGCGGAUGGUGAAAUGCCAUCACAUCCUUCAUACUCAUAUUUUUAGGACCAUAGGAGACCCAAUAUAUCUGUCUGUAUUGCAAUAAAUUACAAGGCUUUGACCAAAGACCCAGUUCCUAACUGACUGCUCUUGAAGCCAGCUCCACUGCAGAAUUAAGGAACAGAGAUGAGACUUGUCUGACAUGGGGAACUGUCACAGGAUAAUACCUUUGAAAAGCCUGGUUUUAGAACUUGCCUCUCUCAAUUUGAGGCAGUGUAUGUUUUUAAGUUUCUAAAAAUAAGAUAUUAUAAGAUUUGUAACAUUACAAUGACUGCCAAUGCAAAGAACCUCUGGGACUCUAGUGCAUCAGUGGAAUAUCAGCACAUUGAUGGACAUGUGGACUAUUUGGAUUCAGAAGACCUGGUUUGAGCUCAUCUCUGCUGCCAACUGUCUGUGUGACCUUAAGUAAAAUUAUCUCCUCUCUC
rnacentral:lncRNA from 1 species